AAGCCUGAUGCAGCGACGCCGCGUGAGUGAAGAAGGCCUUCGGGUCGUAAAGCCCUUUUGUAGGGGAAGAGGAAGGACGGUACCCUAAGAAGAAGCGUCGGCUAACUACGUGCCAGCAGCCGCGGUAAGACGUAGGACGCGAGCGUUAUCCGGAAUUACUGGGCGUAAAGGGCCAGCAGGCGGCUUGGUAAGUUGUGCGUGAAAGCCUCGUGCUCAACGCGAGGAAGCCGGACAAUACUGUCAAGCUAGAGGGCAUCAGAGGGGAGUGGAAUUCCCGGAGUAGCGGUAAAAUGCGCAGAUAUCGGGAGGAACACCGAUGGCGAAGGCAGCUCCCUGGGAUGCACCUGACGCUAAGAGGCGAAAGCUAGGGGAGCGAACAGGAUUAGAGACCCUGGUAGUCCUAGCUGUAAACGCUGGGUGCUAGGUGUGGUACGUAGAAGUUCCGUGCCGGAGCAAACGCGAUAAGCACCCCGCCUUGGGAAUUACGGUCGCAAGGCUAAAACUCAAACGAAUUGACGGGGCCCCGCACAAGCAGCGGAGCGUGUGGUUCAAUUCGAUGCUACACGGAAGAACCUUUACCUGGGUUUUGACAUGUACGUGGUACGAAGGCGAAAGCCUAAAGGACCCUUCGGGGAGCGUACACAGGUGCUGCAUGGCUGUCGUCAGCUCGUGCCGUGAGGUGUCGGGUUAAGUCCCGUAA
rnacentral:rRNA from 1 species